UUUCUUUCAAUUUUCAAAGUUCUCAAAAGGAAACUAAGUUCAACCACCAGGAAGAAAGGUAAUCUUCUUUCCAAUGAAAAUAAAUUUCGAAUAUAUUUAUCGUAUAGAGAAUAUGUGGUUUAUCAAUUCUAUUAUAUUAGGAAAAUCAUGCAAAAUUAUGUGUUACUUUUCUUUACUGCAAGUAUUUAAUCUGCAUUAUAUACAUGAAUAGUAUAACAUAUCAUGUCUGUCACUGCAUAGUCAAACGAAUGAACGCGUGCAAUCCAUCACUUCCACCAUGUCUUGGGAUAAGAAAAAAUGUAGAGGAAUUCAAAGAAUAUUUUGGAUACAAAUUCAUCAGCCAACAAAUUCUUCAAUAAUAUGAAUAUCAAAGCUAAAAUGAAACCUAAAACUUAUUCAUGCAAAUCUCAAUCAUUUUCAUUUGGCCAAAAAAUAUUGAAUCUAUCACUAGCUGUUGAACAGCUCCUCUUACUGAACCUCAAGUUUGUUAAUAUCUCGAAGAACAUUUACUGAAUCUCAAGUUUGUUAAUAUCUCGAAGAACAUGAAAAAUUUGAAUUUAGAAAGCUGCUCGGAGUGACCAUGCUCCGGACUGCACAGAUAUCGCUUCGGGCUGCGCGGGGUGAUCUUGGCGCCUUUAUGCUCCGCGCUACGCGAGAGAUCACUCCGCGCAGCCCGAAGUGUUCAACACUCCGCACUGCGUGGAGUGUCCCUUUGAGACGCGGAGUGGGACACUCCGCACUGCGCGGAGUGUCCCAGUUUUUGGGACACUCCACGCAGCGCGGAGUGUUCCAUUCCUUUGGGAACACUCAAAACGUUACAAUAAAAAAAAAUUACAUUAUACCCAAAAAUUUAUUAUUUAUAAAAUUUAAAACAUUUUACAAUAAAUACAACUUAUAAUAUAAAACUCAUCUUUCAUUAUUUAUAAAAUUAAAAAUAUUUUACAAUAAAUACAAAUUAUUAUAUAAACAGUCAUCUUAAAAUUUUUCGUAACCCUUUUAAUUUCAUUAAAUAAUUAUAUUCUUUUCCAAAAUUCGACUCAAAAAUAUAUUUUUUAUAUUUAGAAUUUUAAUAUCAAAUUUCCAUAUUCAAGAAUAAAAUUUUACUUUCAUUAAAUAAUAAUAUUCUUUUCCUAAAUUCGACUCAAAAAUACAUUUUUUGUUGAUAAUAAUUUAGGGAAAUCUGAAUACGUUAAUGAACUCCAAGGCACGAAAUGAAACGUUAUCUUUUAAGAGAUGUUUCUCACCUAUUCAACAAAGUCACAACGGGGUAUAAUAGAAGAUCUCUCUCAAGAUACAAUGGAGGUGUUUGAUUCAAAUUGUGACUAUUUGAUCAAACCAAGAAAACACUCGAAUAUAACUGAUUGAUGCCAAGAGAAAGAAGGAAAAAUAAAUUAUUUAAUGUAUUUGCAAAUGAGAAUUCGCCCAAAAUUUAUAGACACGGAGACAACUGUUUGAAUAGGUGUAUCUCUUGAAAGUGACUGUUAAAAAUGAACUGAUGCACCUAUUCAAAAAACUUUUGAAAAUAAAAUUCUCUUACGGGGGGCGCUGCCCCCUCGAUCCCCGCGACCUGACCGGGCAGGUCGAACCCCGUUGCGCAGCGGCAAACACUAAUCCGGGCGGCAAAUCAUUCGCAAAACAAAAAAUUGAACACAUGCAAAAUGAUGAAAAAUAUCUAACAUUUUUUAUAUUUAGAAUUUUAAUAUCAAAUUUCCAUAUUCAAGAAUAAAAUAAAACGCGAGGGGUAAAUAUAUUUUAACAUUCCUUGUUAAAUAUUUAUUUUUAAUCUUUUAAUUAUAAGAUUUAAUUUCUCGAAUUUAGUACUUCAAAAAAAUACAAAUGUAACACAUUUAAUAUAAUUUCUUUUCUACGAUCAACUACCACGUCUAAUGUAAAAAAUUUCAAUUAUCUAUCAACAUCAAAAAAUGUUUCUUUUACUUAAUUAAUUUUUUAAUUACUAUAAUUCUCAAUUACAUUAUACCAUAAUUUUUUUUAUUAAAAACCCUUUCACAAAAAAAUACAAAUUUAGUUUCUCGAAUUUAGUACUUCAAAAAAAUACAAAUUUAACAUAUUUAAUAUAAUUUCUUUUCUACGAUCAACUACCACGUCUAAUGUAAAAAAUUUCGAUUAUCUAUUAACAUAAAAAAAAUUUCUUUUAAUUAAUUAAUUUUUUAAUUACUAUAAUUCUCAAUUACAUUAUACCAUAAUUUUUUUAAUUAAAAACCCUUUCACAAACAUACAUAUCUUCAUUUUUAUUUAUUUAAAUUAUACAUAUAAAUUCAUUUUAUCUAAAGGUGAACAUAAUGAACUUAAUCAAAAUUUUCGUUUUUCUAUGUUUUAUACACAUAUAGUUAUUAACUAUCAUUUGAUUUAUUUUAUCUUUUGUAUAAUUUUUUCUUUAAAUAUAUUGCAUAAAUAUUAAAGUUAACAAAUUUUAUUAAUUCAAACUACAUAUCAAUCAUAGUACAAAUUAUGUUGUUUCGAUUUAUAUAUUGUACUAUUAUAUUUCUAAUAUGAAACUGUAAAAAUAUCAUAAAGUUUCAUACAAUUGUAACCAAUUAUCCUUUCCAUCACAAUAUAUAUAUACAGUUUCACAUCAAACACAAAACACAAUGGUUCAAAUAGUAUAGAUAUAAUACUACAUUUUUUUUCAUGAAGUUGAAAUGUUAUUCAUCAUCAUGAACAAAAUUAGCCAGUUUCUAAAAAAUUAUGUUAAAUUAGUAUAUGAAUAAAUUUGUUGACUACUAAACAGUUUUUUUAUUACUUUUUGCAGAUGUCACUAGAAUACAUAUUAUCUCCAAAUCAAUGGUUCUCUGCUACAAUUACUCAAUUUGCAAAUCAUCAAUAUUUUAAAGAUUUUGUAGAACUUAUAAAUGCAGAUGAUCAAGCCUCUUUAUUGUGCAGUCCAUUCCAUGGAUUCAUUUGUGGAAAUAUGAAUAAGAAGCAAAACGACAAAUUUAGCAGCAAGUUAACACAUGAGUUCAUAAUGAGACUUAUAAACUGUGGUAAAAAUAACGAAGUUUGGGUACAACUAGACGAUCGUGUAGCUCGUUUUGGCCUACAAGAAUUUUGUCUCAUAACUGGAUUGCCAUGUCAUGAACCUACUGUUGAUCUAAAUUUUAGUAAUACUCGACUUAGAGAUGAAUACUUCGAUGGUUCAAAACGAAUAACUAUGAUAAGACUUUCUGAAGUAUUUCAUAUAUGUGAAGAUCGAGAAGAUAAAUUUAAGUUGGGAUUAGUUAUGUUUGUCGAAUGUGUUUUAAAACCAACUGGAAGACACAUCGAUUACAGAACUCUUGGAAUGGUUGAACAGCUUGAUGAAUUUCUUAUGUAUCCAUGGGGACGUAAGGCAUAUUUUGUUCUAUUACAUUCAUUACAAGAAUCACAGCUUGAAAGAAUACGAAGAAUGCAACAAAAUAACCAAGCAGAAUGUAAAUAUUCAUUGCAUGGUUAUCCACUUGUAUUCCAGGUAUUUUUCUUACAUUUAUUCCCUAUUCGAUAUAAUUUAAUCAUGUAAAAACGUUAAUAUUCCUUUUUACUUAUAUUUCAGUAUUGGAUAUACGAAGCUUUUCCUAAAAUUGGACGACAAUUUGGUCACCGUAUCCGUACAAGUUUAAAAUGUCCACGAAUGCAUAAAUGGCAGCCUCAAAUGGUAUUAGCGGAAAAUGUUAUUAAAGAAUUUUUAGCUACUGAAGAGGUAUGUUCAUUUCAGUAUACAAUUAAAUAUAUGUUUUAUUCUUUAUAAAUAAAUUUUAGAGAAUACGUCUGAUAUUUUAUUACAAUAUUACAAUUAUAGAUUACAGUAAUUGCAACGUUAAAUCCUACUGAAGCAGAAUUGGAAACAUUCUGGUAUACAACUCUUUCACUGCCAAUUGACAACCAACAUUGUACACUAGACAGCAUUGUCAAUGGUGAAUUGGAAAAUACAACAGAACAAAUUCGAGCAUAUAACAUACAUCCACAAGAAACAACUGUACACAGUUCAAAUAGAAUUGAAUCUACUUCUUCCGGUACUUCAGACUAUGUAACUAAACAAGAUAUGGAACAGAUGUUCAAUGUACACAGACAAGAUGUCUUUGGUUUCUACGACAGCUUGAAAACACAGAUGAUUCAAGAAGCAACAAAGCAAGAAGCUCAGUAUCAUACGAUUCUUGAAAAUCAACAAACUCUCUGUCAGACACUUCUUGACAAUCAAAAACAAUUUUUUGAAGUGCAGCAAAAAAAUCAACAGGAACAUUUUCAGGGCAUACAAUCUGACAUGCAUUCUUAUGUGGAUACCAGUUUCGGUUUAAUGAAGUCUUACAUUGAUGAACAAAAUCGAAAUAUGCAGAAUCAGUUAACCAACUGGAAAUCACAUAUGGAAUCAAUUGUAGCCUCUGUACAACAUGAUUUGCCCCCUCCAACAAAUCAAGCUGAAUUUGAAAUGCCUUCAACAUCUGAACAUGCAGAAGACGUCGAAAGAUCAACAAAAGAAAAAAAAGGUAAGCAAAAAGAGACACAAUCUCCAUCACCAACGGCAACGAAUACUUUAGAAGAUUAUAACAUCGACAAAUACAAAAACAUUAGAGAAUGGAUAUCAGAAAAUCCAUCAGAGUAAGAUAUUAAAUUUAACUUCGUUAACUUAAAUAUUCUAUUUCGUAUUUUACUUAUUUAAUAACAAUUUCAUUUUUUCUUAUAUAGUGCAUACUGAAAAGAUGAAAUCGGCAAUCAAUACGCAAGACAUUCGCUGAUGAAUAUAAUAAAUCAAAUUAAAGAUAUAAAUAUUGUGGUAAGUCAACUUUAGCAAUCUUAAUUAAUUUUACUUCGUUAUUAAUAUAGCUAAUUUAAAUUUUUU
rnacentral:lncRNA from 1 species